GUGGGGAAUAUUGGACAAUGGGCGCAAGCCUGAUCCAGCCAUGCCGCGUGAGUGAUGAAGGCCUUAGGGUUGUAAAGCUCUUUUGUCCGGGAAGAUAAUGACUGUACCGGAAGAAUAAGCCCCGGCUAACUUCGUGACAGCAGCCGCGGUAAUACGAAGGGGGCUAGCGUUGCUCGGAAUCACUGGGCGUAAAGGGCGCGUAGGCGGACUCUUAAGUCGGGGGUGAAAGCCCAGGGCUCAACCCUGGAAUAGCCUUCGAUAGUGAGGGUCGUGAGUUCGGAAGAGGUUGGUGGAAUUGCGAGUGUAGAGGUGGAAUUCGUAGAUAUUCGCAAGAACGCCAGGGGCGAAGGCGGCCAACUGGUCCGAUACUAACGCGGAGGCGCGAAAGCGUGGGGAGCAAACAGGAUUAGAAACCCGGGUGGUCC
rnacentral:rRNA from 1 species